rnacentral:rRNA from 1 species
CUAUCAACAGAGAGAAGCGAGCCGCGAGGCGGAGCAAACCUCNGAAAAAUAGUCUCAGUUCGGAUCGCAGGCUGCAACCCGCCCUGCGUGAAGCCGGAAUUGCUAGUAAUCGCGGAUCAGCAUGCCGCGGUGAAUACGUUCCCGGGCCUUGUACACACCGCCCGUCACACCAUGAGAGCCGGGGGGACCCGAAGUCCGUAGCCUAACCGAAAGGGGGCGCGGCCGAAGGUAAAACUGGUGAUUGGGGUGAAGUCGUAACAAGGUACC